AGCGAACGCUGGCGGCAGGCCUAACACAUGCAAGUCGAACGAACUCUUCGGAGUUAGUGGCGGGCGGGUGAGUAACACGUGGGAACGUGCCUUUUGGUUCGGAAUAACUCAGGGAAACUUGUGCUAAUACCGAAUGUGCCCUUCGGGGGAAAGAUUUAUCGCCAUUAGAGCGGCCCGCGUCUGAUUAGCUAGUUGGUGAGGUAACGGCUCACCAAGGCGACGAUCAGUAGCUGGUCUGAGAGGAUGACCAGCCACACUGGGACUGAGACACAGCCCAGACUCCUACGGGAGGCAGCAGUGGGGAAUCUUGCGCAAUGGGCGAAAGCCUGACGCAGCCAUGCCGCGUGAAUGAUGAAGGUCUUAGGAUUGUAAAAUUCUUUCACCGGGGACGAUAAUGACGGUACCCGGAGAAGAAGCCCCGGCUAACUUCGUG
rnacentral:rRNA from 1 species